UCGAGGAUCUUUGGCAAUGGGCGCAAGCCUGACCAAGCGACGCCGCGUGUGCGAUGAAGGCCUUCGGGUUGUAAAGCACUGUCGAGGGGGAGUAAGCCGAAAGGUUGAACUAUCCCUGGAGGAAGCACGGGCUAAGUUCGUGCCAGCAGCCGCGGUAAGACGAACCGUGCGAACGUUGUUCGGAAUCACUGGGCUUAAAGGGCGCGUAGGCGGGUUCGAAAGUCUGUGGUGAAAUCCUCCAGCUUAACUGGAGAAGUGCCAUGGAUACUGCGAGCCUCGAGGAGGGUAGGGGCAUCUGGAACAGUAGGUGGAGCGGUGAAAUGCGUUGAUAUCUACUGGAACUCCGGUGGCGAAGGCGAGGUGCUGGACCCUUUCUGACGCUGAGGCGCGAAAGCCAGGGGAGCGAACGG
rnacentral:rRNA from 1 species